UACGAAGGGGGCUAGCGUUGUUCGGAAUCACUGGGCGUAAAGCGCGCGUAGGCGGUUGUGUCAGUCAGGGGUGAAAUCCCGGAGCUCAACUUCGGAACUGCCUUUGAUACAGCACGUCUUGAGUCCGAUAGAGGUGGGUGGAAUUCCUAGUGUAGAGGUGAAAUUCGUAGAUAUUCGCAAGAACACCAGUGGCGAAGGCGGCUGACUGGUCCGGUUCUGACGCUGAGGCGCGAAAGCGUGGGGAGCAAACAGG
rnacentral:rRNA from 1 species